CCCAUCUCAGACCCUUGGUGUACGUGCUUGGCUGAGGAGCCAAUGGGGCGAAGCUACCAUCUGUGGGAUUAUGACUGAACGCCUCUAAGUCAGAAUCCCGCCCAGGCGGAACGAUAGGGCAGCGCCGCGGGGCCUCGGUUGGCCUCGGAUAGCCGGAGAUCAGAAGAGCGU